GGCGGACGGGUGGGUAAUGUCUGGGAAACUGCCUGAUGGAGGGGGGAUAACUACUGGAAACGGUAGCUAAUACCGCAUAACGUCGCAAGACCAAAGAGGGGGACCUUCGGGCCUCUUGCCAUCAGAUGUGCCCAGAUGGGAUUAGCUAGUAGGUGGGGUAACGGCUCACCUAGGCGACGAUCCCUAGCUGGUCUGAGAGGAUGACCAGCCACACUGGAACUGAGACACGGUCCAGACUCCUACGGGAGGCAGCAUG
rnacentral:rRNA from 1 species